GACGAACGCUGGCGGCGUGCCUAAUACAUGCAAGUAGAACGAAGAGGGAGGGGAUUUCUCCUCUAGCAGAGUUGGGGACGGGCGGGUGAGUAAUAGGUAACCAACCUGCUCUCGAGAGGGGAAUAUCAGAAGCGAAAGACAGUAAAUCCUGCAAACAGUUGAAUCAUGGCAUUGAGUAAAAAUGAAAAGUGGCCUCAAUACGAAAGGGACCUGCGUAGGAUUAGCUAGUUGGUGAGGUAACGGCUCACCAAGGCACGGAUACAUAGCCGGCCUGAGAGGGUGAACGGCCACACUGGGACUGAGACACGGCCCAGACUCCUACGGGAGGCAGCAGUGGGGAAUCUUCCGCAAUAGACGGAAGUCUGACCGAGCAACGCCGCGUGAGUGAUGACGGCUUUCGGAUCGUAAAGCUCUGUUAUUCGGGAAGAACGGGUUUCUUGCUAGUAAUGACACGCAUUGACGGUACCUGACCAGAAAGCCACGGCUAACUACGUG
rnacentral:rRNA from 1 species